rnacentral:tRNA from 1 species
GGGUGGUUAGCUCAGCUGGUCAGAGCGUUGGUCAGCGCAACCGAAGGGCGUCGGUUCGAAUCCGGCACGAUCCGA